UCCAUACCCAUGUGUGUGGGACUCCAAAGGAUCACCAUUAAAUUUGGCACAGAUCUCUAGAAAAGUUAUCACAUGAGUAUGAGACUCGUCUUUUUUAGAGAUCUGUGUUAAAUUUAAUGGUGCUCCUUUGGGGUCCUACACACAUGGGUGUGAA
rnacentral:pre_miRNA from 1 species